rnacentral:rRNA from 1 species
UACGGGGGGUGCGAGCGUUGUCCGGAAUCACUGGGCGUAAAGGGCGCGUAGGUGGUUUGAUAAGGGUGUGGUGAAAGUCCGGGGCUCAACCCCGGAUCUGCCGUGCCGACUGUCAAACUCGAGGACUGUAGAGGCAGACGGAAUUCCGGGUGUAGCGGUGGAAUGCGUAGAGAUCCGGAGGAAGACCGGUGGCGAAGGCGGUCUGCUGGACCCUUUCUGACGCUGAGGCUCGAAAGCCAGGGGAGGCAAACGGG